UCGAGAAUAAUUCACGAUGGGGGCAACCCUGAUGGUGCAACGCCGCGUGGAGGAUGACGGUCUUCGGAUUGUAAACUCCUGUCAUCCGGGAGGAAGACCUGGCUGUUAAUAGCAGACAGGGUUGAUCGUACCGGAAGAGGAAGGGACGGCUAACUUCGUGCCAGCAGCCGCGGUAAUACGACGGUCCCGAGCGUUGUUCGGAAUCCCUGGGCGUCAAGGGUGGGUAGGCGGCGUGGUAAGUCAGCUGUG
rnacentral:rRNA from 1 species